UGAAUACGAGACGCUAAGGCGUCGAAGUAGUGUAUGUCAUACUUCCAAGAAAAGCUUGCACUGUCAUAGAUAAAAAACGCCUGUACCAUAACCGACACAGGUGGGUAGGUAGAGUAUACUAAGGGGCGCGAGAUAACUCUCUCUAAGGAACUCGGCAAAAUAACUCCGUAACUUCGGGAGAAGGAGUGCCUUAUUCUUAAGGUUGCAAUAACAAGAUCCAAGCAACUGUUUAUCAAAAACACAGGUCUCCGCUAAGUCGUAAGACGAUGUAUGGGGGCUGACGCCUGCCCAGUGCCAGAAGGUUAAAGAAGCUGGUUAGCAUUUGCGAAGCUAGUAACUGAAGCCCUGGUGAACGGCGGCCGUAACAAUAACGGUCCUAAGGUAGCGAAAUUCCUUGUCGGGUAAGUUCCGACCCGCACGAAAGGCGUAAUGAUUUGGAUACUGUCUCGGAGAGGGGCUCGGUGAAAUAGACUUGUCUGUGAAGAUGCGGACUACCUGCACCAGGACAGAAAGACCCUAUGAAGCUUUACUGUAACUUGAAAUUGAAAUUGGACUUUAUUCGCGCAGUAUAGGUGGGAGGCGUUGAUUAUAAUCUUGCGGGAUUAUUGGAGCCAUUAGUGAGAUACCACUCUUGUAAUGUUAGAUUUCUAACUUUGAAUCAUUAUCUGGUCAAAGAACAGUUUCAGGCGGGCAGUUUGACUGGGGCGGUCGCCUCCUAAACGGUAACGGAGGCGUACAAAGGUUUCCUCUGAACGGUUAGAAAUCGUAUCUAGAGUGUAAAGGCAUAAGGAAGCUUGACUGUGAGACCUACAAGUCGAGCAGGGACGAAAGUCGGUCUUAGUGAUCUGACGGUACUGAGUGGAAAGGCCGUCACUCAACGGAUAAAAGUUACUCUAGGAUAACAGGCUGAUCUCCCCCAAGAGUUCACAUCGACGGGGAGGUUUGGCACCUCGAUGUCGGCUCAUCGCAUCCUGGGGCGGUAGUACGUCCCAAGGGUUGGGCUGUUCGCCCAUGAAAGCGGUACGCGAGCUGGGUUCAGAACGUCGUGAGACAGUUCGGUCCAUAUCCGGUGUAGGCGUUAGAAUAUUGAGAGGAGCCUUCUUUAGUACGAGAGGACCGAGAAGGACAUACCUCUGGUGUACCAGUUAUCGUGCCAACGGUAAACGCUGGGUAGCUAUGUAUGGAGUGGAUAACCGCUGAAAGCAUCUAAGUGGGAAGCCCACCUCAAGAUAAGUAUUCUCACC
rnacentral:rRNA from 1 species